rnacentral:rRNA from 1 species
GAUGAACGCUGGCGGCGUGCUUAACACAUGCGGAAGUCGAACGAACCUUCGGGUCUAGUGGCGCACGGGUGCGUAACGCGUGGGAAUCUGCCCCUUGGUUCGGAAUAACAGCGAGAAAUUGCUGCUAAUACCGGAUAAUGACGUAAGUCCAAAGAUUUAUCGCCAAGGGAUGAGCCCGCGUAGGAUUAGCUAGUUGGUGGGGUAAAGGCCUACCAAGGCGACGAUCUUUAGCUGGUCUGAGAGGAUGAUCAGCCACACUGGGACUGAGACACGGCCCAGACUCCUACGGGAGGCAGCAGUGGGAAUAUUGGGACAAUGGGCGAAAGCCUGAUCCAGCAAUGCCGCGUGAGUGAUGAAGGCCUUAGGGUUGUAAAGCUCUUUUACCCGAGAUGAUAAUGACAGUAUCGGGAGAAUAAGCUCCGGCUAACUCCGUGCCAGCAGCCGCGGUAAAGUGACUACUG